rnacentral:rRNA from 2 species
GGGUCUAUCAUGCAAGUCGAGCGAACUGAUUAGAAGCUUGCUUCUAUGACGUUAGCGGCGGACGGGUGAGUAACACGUGGGCAACCUGCCUGUAAGACUGGGAUAACUUCGGGAAACCGAAGCUAAUACCGGAUAGGAUCUUCUCCUUCAUGGGAGAUGAUUGAAAGAUGGUUUCGGCUAUCACUUACAGAUGGGCCCGCGGUGCAUUAGCUAGUUGGUGAGGUAACGGCUCACCAAGGCAACGAUGCAUAGCCGACCUGAGAGGGUGAUCGGCCACACUGGGACUGAGACACGGCCCAGACUCCUACGGGAGGCAGCAGUAGGGAAUCUUCCGCAAUGGACGAAAGUCUGACGGAGCAACGCCGCGUGAGUGAUGAAGGCUUUCGGGUCGUAAAACUCUGUUGUUAGGGAAGAACAAGUACGAGAGUAACUGCUCGUACCUUGACGGUACCUAACCAGAAAGCCACGGCUAACUACGUGCCAGCAGCCGCGGUAAUACGUAGGUGGCAAGCGUUAUCCGGAAUUAUUGGGCGUAAAGCGCGCGCAGGCGGUUUCUUAAGUCUGAUGUGAAAGCCCACGGCUCAACCGUGGAGGGUCAUUGGAAACUGGGGAACUUGAGUGCAGAAGAGAAAAGCGGAAUUCCACGUGUAGCGGUGAAAUGCGUAGAGAUGUGGAGGAACACCAGUGGCGAAGGCGGCUUUUUGGUCUGUAACUGACGCUGAGGCGCGAAAGCGUGGGGAGCAAACAGGAUUAGAUACCCUGGUAGUCCACGCCGUAAACGAUGAGUGCUAAGUGUUAGAGGGUUUCCGCCCUUUAGUGCUGCAGCUAACGCAUUAAGCACUCCGCCUGGGGGAGUACGGUCGCAGACUGAACUCAAGGAAUUGACGGGGGCCCGCACAGCGGUGGAGCAUGUGGUUUAUUCGAGCACGCGAGACUUACCAGGUCUGACAUCUCUGACACUCUAGAGAUAGAGCGUUCCCUUCGGGGGACAGA